GUCAUUGAUUUUGUUAAAAUUAACUUUAAGAUUUUUGGACGCGGGUUCGACUCCCGCCGUCUCCACCA
rnacentral:tRNA from 1 species